ensembl:lncRNA
GGGUGGUGCGGGCGGACUCUUCUGGUUCCCCAGCCCAUUAGUCUAACAAUAUGAGUUGAAAAGGCAUUCUUCUGGGAGCCCCUGACUUGGCCUUUAUGACCAGCACUUUCCGCAGCCAGAGAGCCAGAGUGGUCACCCAGGCUGGGCAGCCUCCAGGGUCUGCACCAUUUUGCGCCUCUCACGUGACAGCCGGGGGCGGGGGUGCAGGGAGCAGAGCCUCAGGUGCCCCCGUUGUGCUGACCCAGGCGUGGCCAAGCACAUCUCAGCGGCUCCUUAAGCAACUAGACAGGAACAGCCUCCCUGGGGCCCGGGUUGUCCCCACCUUCCACAGCUGCCCUGGAGGUUCUCAGGGCUCCUCCUGGAGCCCAGGCAAGGGGUCCUCGUGCCGCAAGUUCUACCUCAGCACCCAGCCACCUGGCACCAUGCAGGGCCCACCUCUUCCUUUUCUCUUAUUUAUCUCUGCUUAAAAACACACUGCACUCCAAAUGGUGAAUAGGAUUGGAAAUUAGAAUUACUCGUUUACAAUAAGAAAGAGACCCAUCUCUUCAUAUUGUUGGUUUUUUUUUUAAGGAAUUUUUGCUUCAGAAGAAACUCCAGAACAUAAAUGUAUUCUUGUUAACCUAGGCAUAUGCUCAUUGAAUUUGACUAUGCUUUGUAAAAAAAUAAUAAUGUAGUAACAUGGGGCAAAAGGGUAUCAUCAGCUUAAAAACAAACCUUCAGUGUCGGUGGGUUUAGCAUUGUUUUCCUGUAGAGGACUUCAGAAGUCAAGUGCUACAUGAAAACCAAGAUCAGCCACAUUCCAUGGGGUAGAUGAUUUUAUGGUGGGAAAUGUCUCAAGUGGCCUUCAGUUGAAAAAAGCACAGGCUCUCCUAGCAGCACUCAGUUUAAAAAAAAAAAAAAAAAAAAGUAUCAGUGGCUUUUUCUGCUGAUGGAAUUCUUUUCAUUUUGACUCAUCUGUAGCACUGCUUUUGUCUGGUUCCUCAUUCCUGUGCCCCUUCAAGUCGCCGGUGACAUAGAAACACUUGUUUUGUUUUUACUAAUACCCCUUGUGAAUUGGUAUGACCAUAAAAAAAGGAAUCCUGUUCUCAGCAGAACUUUUGAAGUCCUAUCACAGCCCAUUCUGCAGUUGCACCAACAGAGCUGAGAGUGAUCAAUGGAUUUAACCAAAGCACCUCCCUCCUCCACCCACUCCCCCCCAUCCUCAGCAGACUGCUUUCUCACUGUGUUCCUGGUGACGAGAGAUGCUCGUCCCUGUCUGUGGAUGGGGCCCAUCCAUCACUCGUCCUAAACAUGUAGACUCAGUUUUCUCUCACUGACCCCAGUGUCCCACUGUGAGACAAGCCUGCCAAGAAAAUUCCUUGAAACAGGGCCGCAGGUUCAGUGUGGCUCUCCCAGACUCAGGGCUGACCCUCACAGUGGGCCCUGGCCCGACAGAACGACCAGCAGACACACUGUGACCAGUUCACGUUGAUGUAUGGCAAAAACCCAUCACAAUAUUGUAAAGUAAUCCUCUGAUUAAAAUAAAAAGCAGAAAACACUUCUGUUGGCUGGUUGCCUGUGCAGUACCAGCCACCAUGUGUGACAGUCACCCUUGUCCAGGACCAGUUUGUAGCACACUCCUGAUUUGUCAUUCUGAUGCUUUUAAUGCCACAAAGCAAAGUCCACGAAUACCAAAUUCCCAAAAUGCCAUACCAAAAUUCAUCCUGUUCUAAAUGCAGAUCUUUGUUUAGUUAACGUAGCUACAUUUUCUGACAUGGUACAUAUAGUAGAGUUUUUCAUUUAAAUCCUGCCGCUUUUAUUACCUGGUAAGCUUCCAAGUUGACCAGUCUACUUAGACGUGUUUUCAGAUGAGGUUACAUUGUGUGUGAUAAGGUAUCCUGAUCUUUAGAGAGAGACCUAGUACUGAAAAACAAAACUAGAGAUUUGCAAUGAAACAUAUAUAAGCUAGACAGAAGACAUUCUAGAGAAAGUUCAAAGUAUUUCAAGUACCGGGAAGUUGCAACUUGUAGCAUUAUCCUCCCCGAAUUCAGUAGGCUAGCAGAGAAAUUGUGCUAAUGUGAUUUCAUUGAAAUGUCACCUCAAACAUUCUGUGGUCCAAGUGUACUCGUUUGUUCCGUGGAGUAAUUUUCUAUUCCGUUGCUGGUAUGAAACUUUAGUGAACUUGAAGUAAAUUUGAAUUAGUAACCUUUCUUACGAAGUUGCUCUGUGGUUCACAAGUAAUCCUCAUGCAGAGAGGCUGUGUUAACUUUCUUAAAUUAAGUAGCACGCACUUUGUUUAUCUGCUUCUGUUUAUUGUGGGGUAACUACGGGGUCCCCCCGUCUCACGAGCACAGGAUUUGUGCUUUGGGAGCAUUCUGCAGUUGUGCUGUCCUCUAGUGCUAAGGAUCAGUGAAAGUGUUUUAUCUUUUUUAUGUAGUUUGUACUGACUGGAUUUUAUAAUUGUAAGAAAACAGAAACAGAGUGUUGUAUUUUGAUCUGAAAUUUGUCUAUGGUAAAGUAAUUUUGUUUUACGUAUUGGAAGUUCAUUUAAAACUUGAAAUAUUUUCUAGAAGGGUACCGAACAAAUGAAUUGUCUUUAAGCUGUUUAAUUAACCUAAUAAAACAAUUUGAUGGGGAAGGCAUUGUAAUUGAUUCUCGUUUUUACAGUGAUUCCUGCCGAGUUAGCACUGUCGGUACAGCUUGGCUGGACCUGGCUUCUGAGUGGAACGUGGUCCCUGUACACCGUAUCUUGCAUGGUCUGAGCGUCAGGGUCCUGGGUCCUGGCUCACAGUGUAAGCCACACUCUCCUUGCCCAUACUCCACAGUCUCUGCCUUGGUGUCUUCCAUUCUCCAUCUGGAGACUGCACAGCUGCAGAGAUCAGGGAAACUCACAGGCAGAUCUCCACCGAAGGCGUGAGGGGGAGAGACUUCCCAGCAAGGCCAAAGGCACACAUGUAAAGUCUGCCAGAAUUGCUCCCGAAAUCAGGUGGAAAGAAGAAGAAACGGCAUGCUCCUCCUCAGUUGCACAGUGUAGCGUCAGGUAGGUUUGGAAGUUGGCUUAAAGUUUUUCCACCUCCCACAGUGACGGGAAGGUUCUAUGGCCUUGUGGUCUCUCAGCCUUUUUAUCUUUGGUGGGUGGG